rnacentral:tRNA from 1 species
GGCUGUGGCUCAGUGGAAGAGCUGCUGCUUUGCAUUCAGAAGGUCACAGGUUCCACUCUUGGCAUCGCCA